rnacentral:rRNA from 1 species
UACGUAGGGUGCAAGCGUUGUCCGGAAUUAUUGGGCGUAAAGAGCUCGUAGGCGGCCUGUCGCGUCGGCUGUGAAAUCCCGAGGCUCAACCUCGGGUCUGCAGUCGAUACGAGCAAACUAGAGUGUUGCAGGGGAGACUGGAAUUCCUGGUGUAGCGGUGAAAUGCGCAGAUAUCAGGAGGAACACCGGUGGCGAAGGCGGGUCUCUGGGCAACAACUGACGCUGAGGAGCGAAAGCGUGGGGAGCGAACAGG